AGUGAACGCUGGCGGUAGGCCUAACACAUGCAAGUCGAACGGCAGCACAGUAAGAGCUUGCUCUUACGGGUGGCGAGUGGCGGACGGGUGAGGAAUACAUCGGAAUCUACUUUUUCGUGGGGGAUAACGUAGGGAAACUUACGCUAAUACCGCAUACGACCUACGGGUGAAAGCAGGGGAUCUUCGGACCUUGCGCGAUUGAAUGAGCCGAUGUCGGAUUAGCUAGUUGGCGGGGUAAAGGCCCACCAAGGCGACGAUCCGUAGCUGGUCUGAGAGGAUGAUCGGCCACACUGUAACUGCGACACGGUCCAGACUCCUACGAGAAGCAGCAGUGGGAAAAAUUGGACAGUGGGCGCAAGCCUGAUCCAGCCAUACCGCGUGGGUGAAGAAGGCCUUCGGAUUGUAAAGCCCUUCUGUUGGGAAAGAAAAGCAGCAGGUUAAUACCCCGCUGUUCUGACGGUACCCAAAGAAUAAGCACCGGCUAACUUCGUG
rnacentral:rRNA from 1 species